AGUUCCCUGGGCCAGGGAUCAGAUCUGAGCUGCAGUUGAAAUGUAAGCCACAGCUGAGGCAACACUGGAUCUUUAACCCACUGUGCCGGGCCAGGGCUUGAACCUGCGUCCCAGCACUCCCAAGACACUGCCAAUCCCAUUGCACAUAGCGGGAACUCCUAUCCCUUCCUUUUUAAAAAUGUCUUUGCUGAAGGAUUUUAAAGUAAAUCUCAGACAUUGUAUCAUUUCACUUGUAAAUACUUAAAAAUUGAUUUUUAACAGAUAAGGUCUUCAUAAUUUUAAUCAAGCCACACUAUCAUUGCCACUCAACAAAAUUAAUAAGAUUUCCUUAAUAAUCAUGUCAUAAUCAGCCUGUAUUCAAUUUUCCUAUCUCAAAAAUAUCUUCCUCCAGGUUAAGUCAGGAUCCAACAUUACAUUUAGUUAGUAUGUCUCUUUUAAAAACUCUAUAUAACAUUCACCCUGUUUUUAAUUUCUUUCCUCUUGCUAUUUAUAUGAGGAAAUAACUAAAUCAUAUAUUCUAUAGAAUUUCCUCCAUUCAAGAUCCGGCUGAUGGUAUCCCCAUGGUGUCUAGUUAGAUCUAGAAACUUGUCUGAAAUUUUUUUCCAGGAAUACUCCAUAGGUGAUGCUGUGUACUUUCUUUUGCAUCACUCCAGGAGGCACAUGAUAUAUAGUUGUUCCACUUUCAGUGAUCUUAAGUUUGGUCAGUGAUUUUCGGUGCCAUCUACCAUCAAUCUUCCUUAUCAGUCUUUCACAUAAUGUUGUUAGCAGCCAUUGAUGAUUAUUGCCUGGAUCUAUUAUUUCAUUAGGAUUUGCAAAAUAGUGAUUUGGAGAUUCUAUCAAACCUUUUGCAUUUAUUAUCUGUGAUUCUUCUGUAAAGAUAAACUUCUCUAAAGCUGAAUGGGAAAGAUGGGAUAAAAUGUUUAUGAAUUUUUAGAAUGGGUUAGAGCCCCAGCAACCUACAAAGGUGACAAAGAGGAGUUAGCAAUUAGUUGGAUGUGAGGAUUUAGGGAAAAGCGGGCGUCAGAGACUACCUCCAGGUGGGUUUGAUAGUGAGUGCCAGGAGUGUGAUGCUGUUAUAGAAGGUAUAGGUCUCAAUCAAAUUAACCCCCUCAAGGAGCCACACAUAUUCGAGAGAUAUUUUGUCUCACACUGUUACCUAUUGCACAGUCUUGAGUCAGAAUUUAAGCCAAUAGUGGGGCCACUGUUCAUGUGUCUACCUGGUGGGGUGGAGUGCAUUUGGGAGGCAAAGCAUUGGAUCUCACUUGGAGAUGCUGAGUUUGAGGUGCUGCUGUCAUAUUCAUGGGAGGAUGUAGAGCAGACUACAGAAAAUGCAGGAGGGAACCUGAGAAAAAGGAUAAACUAGAAUCAUACACAGAAGACGAUGUGUAUGUUAUCUGGAAGUAAGCCCUGAUGCUUAACUAUGAACCCAAGGCAUUGCCAAGGGAGUGAUUACAUAGAAGAAAGAGGGCUCAGAAACAAAAGCUAAAUGUCAAUCCACUCCCUAAUGUCUGUGAUUCUUCCUCUGUGACUGUGAGCUAGCCCAACCCCACAUUUCCUUAGAAUAGUCACAGACACAGGGACUAGAGUUGAUAGGUGUACAGAGGUCCCACUGAUGGCUUACACUCUGACUGAUAACUCUGUAAUGGGUAAAACUUUGAGGCAAACCAAAUACCUCUCAAAUAUGUGUGGCUCUUGAGGAAUCAGAUUGAUUGGGACCUGUAUUAGUUUCCUAUGGCUGCUGUAAUCAGUUACCACAAAAUUGGUGGCUAAAAACAAUACACAUUUACAUUCUAACAGGAGACCAGAAGUCUGAAAUGGGUUUCACAGGGCUUCUGUUCCCCAUCCUGUGUUCAGCAUUACCUGAAUAAGCCAUAGCCUCACAGAUCUGCUCAAGGUUACCUGGAUAGGCUUUCGUUUCUGUGGCUCUCUGCUAUGGUUUCUUUUCUUUUCUUUUUUUUUCUCUUUUUCAUUUUAAAAAAUUUUGUUAAAGAAUAGUUGAUAUACAAUGUUAUGAUAAUUUCUGCUAUGCAGCAAAAUGAUUCAGUUAUACGUGUACACCAGUUGUCUUUCAGAUUCUUUUACCACGUAGACUAUCACAGAAUAUGGGUAGAAUUCUCUGUGGUGUAUAGCAGGUCCGGGGUGGUCAAUCAUUCCAUAUACCUCAGUGUGCAUGUGCCAAUUCCAAAACCCCAGUCCAUCCCUCCCCUCCCUACCUGUCCCCUUUGGUAACCAUAAGUUUAUUUUCAAAGUCUAUUGAGUCUGUUUGUGUUCUGCAAAUAAGUUCAUUUGCAUCCUUUUUUAAAUUCUACAUAUAAGUGACAUCAUAUGAUGUUAGUCUUUCAUUGUCUGACUAACUGCACUUAGUAUGAUAAUUUCUAGUUCCAUUCAUGUAGUUGCAAAUGGCAUUGUUUCAUUCUUGUUUAUGGCAGAGUAAUACUCCACUGUAUAUAUCUACCACAUCUUCUUUAUCCAUUCUUCUGUAGAUGGACAUUUAGAUUGUUUCCAUGUCUUGGCUAUUCUAAAUAGUGCCGCAGUGAACAUUGGGGUAUAUAUAUCUUUUCAAAUUAUGGUUUUCUCUGGAUAGAUGCCCAGGAGUGAGAUCAUAUGGUAGUUCUAUUUUUAAUUUUUUGAGGCAUCUCCACAUUGUUUUCCAUAGUGGUUGUACCAAUUUACAUUCCCACCAACAGUGUAAGAGGGUUCCCUUUUAUUUGUACCCUUUCCAGAAUUUAUGUAGACUUUGUGUUGAUGCCAUUCUGCCUGGUGUAACAUGGUACCUUAUUGUAGUUUUGAUUUGCAUUUUUCUAAUUAUUAGUGAUGUUGAGCAUCUUUACAUGUGCCUUUUGGCCAUCUGUAUGUCUUUGGAGAAAUAUCUAUUUAGAUCUGUCCAGUUUUUGAUUGGGUUGUUUGGUUUUUUGAUAUUUACCAAUAUAAGUUUGUUUAUUUUGGAGAUUAAUCCCUUGUCGGUUGCCUCAUUUGCAAGUAUUUUUUUCCAUUCUGUGGAUUGUCUUUUUGUUCUCUUCCCUGCUAUGGUUUCUACCUGAAAUCUCCUUUAGCCUUUUUAUGUUUUUAAAUUUAUUUUUAAAAUUUUCGGCUAUGGCCUCUAAUGGCUUGAUAUGGGAUCUUAGUUGUUGGACCAGGGAUCAAACCCAAACCACAGCAGUGGAAGCGCUUCUAACCACCAGGCUAUUAGGAAAUACCUCCCCUUACCUUUUAAAAAAAUAACAGCAUUAUUGAGACAUAAUUCACAUAACAUAAAAGUCACCCUCUUUAAAGUAUACAGUUCAGUGGUGUUUAGUAUAUUGCGUUGUGCAAACAUCACCACAGUUGAUUUUAAAACAUUUUGUCACCCUCAAAAUGAAACUGCAGUAGCAGUCAUUCUUCAUCUUCCCUCAACUCUAGGCAAUCUACUUUCCAUCUCUAUAGACAUGCCUAUUCUGGGCAUUUUGUUUAAAGGAAACAAAUGAAAAUGUGGUCUUUUUCACUUAGUUCAUUUUCAAGUUUCAUCUGUGGAAUAGCAUGAAUUAGACAUUCCUUUCCUUGUUUUUGCCAAAUAAUAUUCAAUUACUUGGCUAUAACACAUUUAAUUCACCUCUUCAUCAGCUGGUGGACUUUUGGGUUUCUACUUUCUGGCUGUUAUGAAUAAUGUUGCUGUGAGUAUUUGUGUACAUGUUUUACAUGGACACAGGUUUCCAUUUCCCUUGGGUGUAUACCUAGGGGUGGAGGCACUGGGUCAUACUGUAACUCCUUCCUUGUAACUUCGCAUAUCAAAAUUAUGUUCUGCUACCAUAGUGUUCUACCAUUUCCCACUCCGAAUGAAAUGUCUCCGCAGUACUUCCCUUGUUUAGUACUUCAGAUCUGUAUUGACCAAUCUGCCUUGGAGCUCAUUCUUGAAUGGGUAUUUCCAUCCAUGUGAAUUUCUGGAAAGCAGGGACAAGCUCUCUCAUUUUGAUUUGCCCCAAGGCCUCAAGUGUAUUACCCUGCAUGAAGCAGGAACUCUGUAAGUGCUUUUGAAUUAGUGGGGAAUAAAAGUGUUAAAAUUUUGAUAUGCUUGAUCCCACAAAGUGUGCGUAAUACUAAAUAAAAUAAUGUUCACUGUAAAAUUUCAACAAAUAAAUGUUAAUAAAUAACAAAGUAAUGGUGGAUAUGGUUAACCAAUUUAGUACAUUAAAGCCUAUUUAGUUUGAAUUUUAGAAGCUCUAGUAUUUUGGGUUUAUAACUGGAAAAAUGAAGCAUUUUAGAAAUUCUAGAUGGAACUUUGAAAAUGUAGUACAGAAUAUACAAAAGUAAAUGACAGCGUAUGUUAAAAUUUACUUUAUGAUUCAAAUUUCACAUUGUUCUAAAGAAAAUAAAAAAGGCUUUUCAGUGUU
rnacentral:lncRNA from 1 species